AUGACCAGCCAGGCUGGUCAGCUGGCUCAGGGUUUUGGCUGCCCCGUCCUCCCAGACCACCUCCCCAGGCCGCCCUCCAGGGUAGCGCGGGGGGCCUGGGAAGCCAAACACGACAGCUCUCCCUCGACUAAAAACGAGUUCUGGAGGCUGAGAGCAGACAUGCUCCGUUCUGCCUUCUGUGAAAGGAGCCGGGGGGGGGGGGGAGCUGGGGCCCCCACCGUGUGUCUGGAUUUAUGCCCUUGCCCCGCAGCCCACCCAUCUUGUGGUCACGCGCUUUCCUGCAGCAGUUGGUGCAUUCGUUUUAAACCCAUUUAUUUAGCCGGGUGCUCAAAGGACUUCGGGUUACUGUCACUCUGCGGGACUGCCAGAACCGAUUUCCUAGAUCUCUUCUCAUUUGCUGCUCUCAAGCUGUGGGCUCCUUCUGAGUCCCGGAAGGAAAAUAUUUUCGAAAGAUGCCAUCUUCGGGAACGACCCUCUCCCCGCCAGGCUGGGAGUUGGAGGGGGCUUGUCCUGGGCUGCCCCAGCUUGGUGCCUUCUGCACAAAAGACCAGGACAUGUGGGACAACUCUCCUGCCCUCCGGCGGAGUCUUGGGGCCGUGCUCCUCCUCCCGCUGUGGCCACUGCGGUCACGACUGCUCGUCCUGGGCCCAGACCCAGCGUCCAAGUCGGGAACGCGGAGGCCGUAGACGUCUUCCGUCACAGCCUUGGAAAUCACAGCAUCGCUUCCAACAGCCCUGUGUCGACCCAAGCCAGAUCCUGUCGUGUGGCCAACUCAGCCACCUCACGUCCACCACGAAAAUACUGCACGUCUAUUCGACUUCCAUCAAGUGCAGAAACGGACCCGACGCAUCUGCAGAAUAAGUAUCCGAAUGGUGGUUGCGUCUGGGGGUGGGGAUAGACUGAAAACAGCACAGGGGAAUUGUCUGGGGUCCUGGCAAGAUUCUACAUGUUGUGUGAGGGUGUUGGUCACAUAGGCGUAUGUGCGUUUGUCAAAACCCAUCAAAGUGUGCACUUAACAGCUGUGCAUUUUACUGUAUAGAAUUGUAUCUCGGUAAGUAACCAACAACCACAAAUACCACGCGCCUAUCUGGGUCUUAGCACCCCUCCCCGCAAUACACACACACAGACACACACACAGACACACACACAGACACACACACACACCCAAAGACCAGAGCCAGCGACUAAGGCUUGUUUAUUUAGGAAAUAAUCCUGUUCAAGGAGUGAGGAGCUGGGGGACGAGACAGGGGAGGAGGGAACACCAAUAUCAACCAGAAUGUGUCAUUAAUAUACCGCCACCGGUGACUGGUGCUUGACUUCACCGGGACCUUCUCGGGAGCCUUAUGAAACGCAUCUCAGAACCGUCUGCCUGAGAGGGCAGAGGGGAAGGACUUUUCCAUUGACUCCUGUCCCUCAUGGGUCCCAGUUGACUUCCCAGGCAUUAACUCACUGGUGCUUCUGGGUUGUUCAGAGGUUCAUAGGCAGCUCCAAGGUGGCCCCCAGGGACGCUUGCUCCUGGAAUUCUCAGCCCUGUGUAGUCCUAUUGUGUUCUAGCACUUGGAGACAUAGCAUCACCUGUUGGCCAUCCAUCUAGCACAUCCACUGUAUCCUAGAGGAUGGUUCGGCUACACAGCAGGACGUUACCCCGGUCAGGUGCCUUUGACGAGCCUUUAGUGAGCCAUUCUACUGUUCUCUUAGUCCAGAUGUUUCCAGAUGAUGGGCUAUUAUUUAUAUGGUAAGAUCAAUGGCUCUCACGGUCAAGUGCACAUUAUCACAUCUCCUCUGCCUCUGGGACUUAGGAGUGGGAACUGAUUGGGACGGGAGGGAACUUUCUGGGAUGAUAGCGAUGCCGGGUAUAGUGACAGAGGUUUGCGACACCCAGUAUAGGAAUCUGUCAAAACUCGGCAGAUAUACGCUGAAGAUCUGGACAUUUCUUUGUGCUUUACUUUGCCCCAAAAGAAAAAAAAAUGCAAAUAAAUGUAUAGCUCUAGUGAACGAAAGCCA
ensembl:lncRNA